AUUGAACGCUGGCGGCAGGCCUAACACAUGCAAGUCGAACGGUAACAGGGAGAAGCUUGCUUCUUUGCUGACGAGUGGCGGACGGGUGAGUAAUGUCUGGGAAACUGCCUGAUGGAGGGGGAUAACUACUGGAAACGGUAGCUAAUACCGCAUAACGUCGCAAGACCAAAAAGGGUGACCUUCGGGCCUCUUGCCAGCGGAUGUGCCCAGAUGGGAUUAGCUAGUAGGUGGGGUAACGGCUCACCUAGGCGACGAUCCCUAGCUGGUCUGAGAGGAUGACCAGCCACACUGGAACUGAGACACGGUCCAGACUCCUACGGGAGGCAGCAGUGGGGAAUAUUGGACAAUGGGCGCAAGCCUGAUGCAGCCAUGCCGCGUGUAUGAAGAAGGCCUUCGGGUUGUAAAGUACUUUCAGCGGGGAGGAAGGGAGGUAAGUUAAUACCUUGCCUCAUUGACGUUACCCGCAGAAGAAGCACCGGCUAACUCCGUG
rnacentral:rRNA from 1 species